AAAGGCGGUACACAGAUGGAUUGUCCGACGUGAUGGAGGAUGCAGUCAGAAUCUGUCUGCAAAAAAUGAAGUGAUUAGGUCUAUGAUUGCCUUAAAACAAUGCAGUACAGCUGCCGAGUUUGAAAAGAUGUCAAAGGAAGUGAUUGUCAAAAUAGACAGAGAAACUGGCAGUUCAGUAAUUUCACAGUAUCUACAGGACCAUUGGUUUCGAAAUGCAGACAUGUGGGCCAAUUUUGGACGGAGAGUUUACCACCAAGACAGAGAAACGAACAACCUUGUUGAGAGAUUUUUUUUCAGCAUGAAGUAUCAGUUUCUUCAUGGCUAUGCAAACAGACGAGCUGAUGAACUACUUCUACUACUUAAUACCAAGGUGGUCACUUACUACAGGUUUGUGUAACAUUUCCAAUACUAGCAUUUUUAUGUGGUCUAGUGUUGC